UUUCGCAAUGCCCGAAAGGGUGACGAAGCGACGCCGCGUGGGUGAGGAAGGCCUUCGGGUUGUAAAGCCCUGUCAGGAGUUAAGAAAUGUAGGUACGCUAAUAUCGUGCUUAUUUGACAAAGGCUCCAAAGGAAGCCACGGCUAACUCUGUGCCAGCAGCCGCGGUAAUACAGAGGUGGCAAGCGUUGUUCGGAAUUAUUGGGCGUAAAGAGCACGUAGGUGGAUUUGUAAGUCAGAUGUGAAAGCCUUCUGUUCAACGGGAGAAUUGCAUCUGAAACUACAAACCUUGAGUGUAGGAGGGGAGAAUGGAACUUCUGGUGGAGCGGUGAAAUGCGUAGAUAUCAGAAGGAACGCCGGCGGCGAAAGCGAUUCUCUGGCCUAUUACUGACACUCAGUGUGCGAAAGCUAGGGGAGCAAACGGGAUUAGAUACCCCGGUAGUCCUAGCCGUAAACGAUGGGCACUAAGUAGAGGGGUUUU
rnacentral:rRNA from 2 species